CUAUAAAAGCACCACUCUGUCUCGGCAUGUAUUAUGUAUUUCAAUGGAAUUCAUGUCAUAUGAAGCUGUUCAUUAUUGUGAGUUUAUUCGCAAUCCUUGGAAGUGUGUACAGUUGGUCUCUGGAUAACAUACUAAACACCUGCGGCAAAACAAGACAGUGAUUGGUCAAAUCACUCAGUGUAUCAUCUCGAUCAGGGUAUGGCGAGAACGACAGGAGCUCCAGUUGAAAAUGUGAUAACGAAAUAUUACGAUCUUCUGAAGAGGGGUCUGCAAUGUCUGGAAGAUCUCGAUAUCUGUGUAAUGAAUGACAAUGUAGUUUAUAAUGUAAGCUGUGAGCAAGAUCUUAUCAAUCGAGUGUGUCAGGGAAAAAACUCUUAAAGAGAGUUACAACAAACAGCACGUGCAUGUAGAGACUUUCUAACAACUCUUGGCUGCAUGAAGUGGAUGGUGACAUGAGCCGCGACCACGCAUACAACAAGAUGGUGUUCAGCGAAUCAUGCAUGCAGUGUCUCGUGUAUGAUCUGUCUGGAGGCCAUCUAAAGGUGGCACAUAAUACUACCAGGUAAUAGUGAAUGCCCUCAAGUGCUUGGAAAAUUUGAAAAUCUGUAAGCUAGGCUACGAGCGAAAAAAAGCAAAGCGUUGAAGCAGAGCAAUAUCUUCCAAGCUGGCAUUAAUGUUGUUUGGGGAGAUCAGAAGGAGAUGGUGAGUGAGCUAGUGUCUCGCUUGCAGGCUGACGCACAGCUGGAAUUGGUAUGAUAACACUGCACUUUUAUAUAAUUGAAUCGUUAAUUGACUUUAUGCAUGUGCAAACCAUUAACUAUAGUAGUAUAAUGUAUUACAAUGAUUUGAUUACAUACAUUGAAGAAUUACUUAGCCUCCAUAUGCAACACAUGUUGUGUGCAUGCUACUAGUGUGUGCACUAGAUCGUCAAAUAAAAAGAUCGAAAAAUAAAAAAUUUUGGGAAACACUUUCACUUAACAACAUGAUAUUAUUGCAUUAUAAUUAUAAUUAUAACAUCAUCUGUACAGUAGUAUUAUAAUUAUAUCCAUUGUAAGCACUUCAAGUUCUAUUCUCAACAGGGAAACAAUAGUUAGAUUGGUUUGAAACAAAUUUUCUUGGGAAACAGUUCACUUAACAAACACAAUACAUACAUUAUCUAUAAAUAGUAUUAAUGCUUGCAGAGUAUACGCUUAUCACCAGCUUUCAGCAAGAGAUCGAUCUCUAUACUCACCAGUCAAUAACAAACUCUUCACAGGGAACCAUAUAAACGAUAAUGAAGGUAAUCGUUGGUAUCGCUCUUCUGGCCGCUCUAGGAGGCGUGUGCAGCAAACCAUUCUCGCCCUUCUUACGUUUCCCUAAUCCCUCCAAUAAUGUGGAAACUCAACAAAAUGCAAACCCAUUGUCUGCUAUUCUCCAAAUUGCUAGCUGUGUUUUUUCUAGCUCUGGCUCAGAAAUGACUUUCGACAGGAUUCUCCCGGCCAUUAUGGCAUGUGUUUAUACAAUGGAAACGCCUCUUUUACCCAGCAAAGAAAAAGCCGCCAUUGAGGAAGCUCUGAACGACUUGCUGAAUGAGGAGAUUGUUCAAGAGCUGGAGGAGCAGCAAGUUGCCGAGAUGGAGGACAAUAGCCAGGAAGAAGUGGCUAAUGAACAACGUAAAAAGGAUUUUAAAAAUUUUCUAAAAGAUGUUGGCAAGAUGAUACUUCGGGAAGGUGCUAACAGAAUUGGCUGAGCUGCCCAUACGUAGCUAGUGUCAAGAACACUGAGACAUUUUUGUGUGUGUGUUUCCAUUAGUACGGUAUUAUAAUAUUAUACCUUCAACAGUUGCAGUCAUUAUUCUGUUCAUUUAAUGAUUAUGCUUGUACAAAAUUAAUAGGGAGGGACUUCUUAAUACACUAGUGUAUCUCUAUAGCAUAAAGUAAACUUCCCAUACCCAUGCAUGCGUCUUUGUAGAUCAUGGGUAACUUGAUUAGAAACGUAUUUAUAAGCGCAUGAAUGCAUGCAUUUUAGGCACCUAUAGCAAAAUCCCUUCUGCAGUUUUCCUGAGACCUUAUAUAAUUGAUACUUUGUUGCUGCUGCUCUGCUUGCAUCUCUUGGAGGGUGUCAGUAGGCCCAUGCAGUAAUACUGACAGCUUUACUUCAGAAGUUUCCUUGGAACUUCAUGCCGGUUGUGCCUUGCAGAAGGUUUUAGAAGGAAGGAAGAUGAGCAAAUGAUUCUGUUGCAUCCAUGGUGAGAUUGAGAGUGGGGGAAAAGCUGAUCAGGUUGGGAGUGAUUUAGUGAGGGAGCUAGCUGUUCAUGGCAGCAGGUGGAGGAGGUAGAGGGAGACAAAGCUGAUGAGGUUGGGAGUGAUUUAGUGAGGGAGCUAGCUGUUCAUGGCAGCAGGUGGAGGAGGUGGAGGGAGACAAACUGAGGAACUGGCUAACAAACAGUUUUUUCAUCUAGUUAUAUUGCCGUUCAUUUUUGUGAAGUUGUUUUGUUGAGUCCCAUAUAUAUAAUUUCCAUGUGAUCUGCUCUUGCGUAUCUAUAUACCUUUACCUUAUCUAUAUAGGUAGGGGCAGUCAUGCACGUAUACCUGAAUUCAGUGUAAUAAUAGUAUAUAUGUACAUGUACACUGAAUUCAGGUACAUGUACAUCAAGUCUGACUUACAAAAACACCAUUAAUUACUCAUUAUAGCACUUACGCCCGAUCGAGGGCUGAGAGACACUAUAACCACCAUUGAUACCGAAUGCCCAUGAUAUUUACAAUGCAUUAAUUGUGAAGGCCUUAUGUAAACUCUUUGUGAAAACUCACUAGCUAUCUUGUAAAGUUAAUAACAUUGACGUUGACUCUAUUCAACAGUUAUUUCCCAAGGCUUAUCUAUGACUUUUUGGAAAAUGUUCAGGAAACCGAAACUAAAUACAAGAAAACAUUUCACAAACAUCAAUUUGUCAAGUGACAACAUUGAGAAUUUAUAUACUUCUGCCGAACAAACUCUGUUCAUUUUUUGUGAAAGAAGAUCGAGUCAAGAAUUCAAACGAAGAAUGAAGCUUUACAUUGCUCUUGCUUUGCUCGCUGUGCUUGUGAGUGUGCACAGCAAACCACUCCUCACCGAUCAAGACGAAGAAGAACUGGCUAGAAUCAAUGGAUUCAAAUCUAAAUUCUUUCAGAUCCUGAACACUGCUGGAUGUGCUUUGCAGAAGAUCGGCCGCAGGGAUAAGCCAUCUUAUGAAGUGGAUAUUGAGGGGUUCAACUUGAGGAGGAUUUUGCAAGGCUUUGUCAACUGUCUCCCACCCACUCCCAGACGGCAACCCGAUUAUAUGAAUUCUGCUGAAGAAGAGUUGAAUGAGAUGCUGCAGAAGAUGGCGUUGGAGUUGGAGGAGGAGGUUGCUGCUGUGGAGGAAGACAGUGAGGAGGAAGUGGCAGAGAAGCAGUUUUCCCCGUCUCUUGUUCUUUCAUUUCUCCCAGCAAUACUUGAUAAACUCAAAGGUUGAGUCCCGAACAUAAUAGAGAGGAACAGACUCAUUUUGUAGAUACUAAAAUACUAUAGCUCUUGCUAAAGUGUAAUUAUUAAUUUACUUUGGCAAAGAUGUGGUAUUCAAUAUAAUUAUACAACUGCUGAGAA